rnacentral:rRNA from 1 species
GACGAACGCUGGCGGCGUGCCUAAUACAUGCCAGUUGAGCGCUGAACGUUGGUACUUGUACCAACUGGAUGAGCAGCGAACGGGUGAGUAACGCGUGGGGAAUCUGCCUUUGAGCGGGGGACAACAUUUGGAAACGAAUGCUAAUACCGCAUAAAAACUUUAAACACAAGUUUUAAGUUUGAAAGAUGCAAUUGCAUCACUCAAAGAUGAUCCCGCGUUGUAUUAGCUAGUUGGUGAGGUAAAGGCUCACCAAGGCGAUGAUACAUAGCCGACCUGAGAGGGUGGUCGGCCACAUUGGGACUGAGACACGGCCCAAACUCCUACGGGAGGCAGCAGUAGGGAAUCUUCGGCAAUGGACGAAAGUCUGACCGAGCAACGCCGCGUGAGUGAAGAAGGUUUUCGGAUCGUAAAACUCUGUUGGUAGAGAAGAACGUUGGUGAGAGUGGAAAGCUCAUCAAGUGACGGUAACUACCCAGAAAGGGACGGCUAACUACGUG